AAGUUGAUGAGUCUUCUUCCUUUU
rnacentral:siRNA from 1 species